rnacentral:lncRNA from 1 species
GUCACUCUCUCUGGGGUACAGAGACUUUCCUACAAGAACCAUCCCUGCCCUUGGGGUCAGCGGGCUCCUCAGUGACUGCUGAUGAAGAGCUCCAGGCCACUGCUGUCCAGCCUGCCAGACUGGAAGGAGCUGGUUCCUGCAGGCUGGGGGCAGAGACCAGUGUUUGCUCACAACACAUGGUUGGUAAGGAAAUUUUGAUUCCUUCUCAAGCUUACCCUGGAGCCUUUCCAGGGGAGCACCACACAGGGAAUAGUCCAUGGAAGGAGAAGGGAGGUGUCGGGAAGAUAAAGCUCAGCCAAGCAUCUCCAGAAGGUGCCAAGGGGAACCCUGGGAGAGGCCAAUCCAUUGCCAGGGAGGUGCACCCAGGCCAGCGGCCUCUCCCUGCACCUUCCCUCCUGUCUGCUGUCUUCCUCCAGAGUCACUGUUCUGUGACAGUAACUGCAGCCAGAAGAUGACUAACCCACUCCCGGGCAGGGAACAGGGCUCAGGGACCGAUGGAGAAGCCCCGCCCCCACCCACAGCAUCCUCAUAGACAUCCAGAAACCAAGGCUUCAAGGACUGGCGCUUUUAUUCUUCCUCGGUCAGCUCCGCAGAGCAUUCCUACAGGCACAGAGGGAAAAAUCGUUACAUUUUUAAAGCUCAAUCUGCCCAAAAUAUAUAUUCUGUGAACUCAUGCCAUGGCCUUUAGAGAGAAGGCAAGCAUCGGAAAUGAGCUUAAGGUCAGAGCUGAACGUGAACCUGAAAUACAGCACGGCAAGGCUUUGCACAAGGCUGGGGGUGACCCAUGAGGUCGGAAAUAUUCAAGUCCUGUGAGUGAGGUUGCAGACGGAAAGCUGGGGUGCAGUCAGUGGCUCUCAAUCUCUUGCUUGAUCUCAGAGAUGUACGGAUGGUCCUUGCCGUGAGCUACCUCCAUGAUGGCAAUGGCCUAGGGCAGAGCAAAGGACAUAGGGCGGAUGAGGCCAGCAACUGACAUCCCUGCUGCCGUCCCACAGUCCCGUCCCACAGCACCCAGCUCAGCAGGGGUGCAUGCUGCCAGUCGGUGCUUCAGAGUCCAGUAGGCAAACCACCUCUCACAGGCUCCUUCUCACCCUGCAAAGACACUCAGGGGAGACAAAGAAGGGCUCACGUCAUCCCCACGCGCUCUGAACCCACUAUCCUCGGCGUUUGGGAUGCCGUGGUGCUUUCCAAUGGUGACCUAACCAGAAACUCUUCCCCGGUGUCACUGAGAAAACAGAUGUGACGUCAACAGAAAAACACACAGCUCACACUUUAUCCUAGCAGGACCCUGGGUCUUCACUCUCCACAGACGCUUUGGGAGAUGUGGGGACUGGGCUAGACUGGGGCUGCAGUAUUUAUCUAUACAAAGUGAAGCAACAGACCAACUCUGAGGUCACACUGUGCCGUCAACGUCCAUGAAAAACACAAGGAGAUUCCGUAUCUCAGGAGGGGGAGUCGGUCUCCAGGAGGGGUUCUCCACACAGACAACAGGCUGGGGAAUCCUUGGAGCUCAGUGCAGACUGGCCUGACCCAGUCUGUGACCUGCAGGUCAGUGGGAGCCGGACGACCACGGGGACUGUCCUGAGGAACUAUACCUGAGGCCGUCUUCUUGCCUCCAUAUUUAUAGACACACCUGUACGCGAGCAAGCACGAGGACACACACUAGAUGGUAAACCCGUGGGAAUCCCUGCACUUUCUGCACAAGCGUUUCGGCCCCAGCAUGGCUGAUGAGAUUAAAGCUUCCAGCGUCAAAGGUCCUAAAUGAAGGACCACCACACACCCUAGACUCCUCAGGUAACCCGCUGGAGUUGUCCCCAUCUGGAAAGGCUAUCUCAAUUCUGUAAGAGGAGCCCAUAUGUGACUGGCUUUGGUGAAUGGAGACGGUGGUUAAGUUCAUUUUAGAAUUUCCCCAGGUCACGCAGUCACACUGAGCGGCUCUCCAGAUCCCGCCCUUUGACUUUAGACUGGGUACUGGACGCUCAGGCCUAAGAGGCAGGCAAGGGCUGAGUAGAACUCGUCUCACAGCAAUCCUAGCUCAGCCCUCUUGCUAUGUGCGCUCCUAUCCAGAGGGCCUGGGCACCCCAGAAUGACAUGACCAGAGGGUAGUCCACAGCGAGUCGCCCUCAGUCCUGCAGCCACUGGCCUCCCAGGGCACAAGGGCACUUGGGAAGCAGAGCUGACCGCCUGGACACCCAGCCUCGGGCCCCAAACGUACCUUCUUCAGGGCCUUCUCACCGGCCGCUUUGUUUUCCAGACCCAUGUACAGUCUUCCCAGCUUCAGCCACAUGGAGGCCACGUUGAGGGAGUACACGGGGUAGUGCUUACUGGGAAGGAAGAGACGACAGAGUGCCACGUCAGAGUCUGCCGGCCUCUCCCCAGAGCCCACCCGGUGCCCGGCAGAGUGGGAGGUGGGCUAGUGUGCGCUAUCAGAGGCACUGUGAACGCCCCGCCGUUUCCUUUCGGAUGAGGCUGCAUCAACACAGCUUCAGCCCUAACCCAGAGUCUGCUUCAGCUGUCCUCGGACCAAGGCACCAGGGACUUGUCAGAGCAAGUGCUGCUUCCACACAGACGGCAAAGAGGCCUCCUCCCUCCCACUAGGAGGGACACACACACGUGCUCACGCAUGAGCACACUCACAUAGCAUCUGAGGAACCCCACUGUCUGCCAAACCUUGAGCCCUCUGAUUUCUUGGUCUGUCUGUCUGUCUGUCUUGCUCUCGCUCUCACUCUGCUCUGCUGUCUAGCAGAACUGUGCGUUCAGUUCAGGUUUUGUCUCUGUUUUAAACUCAGGUCUGCCCAAUAGAGUCUGCCAAGAAUGGGUCCCAAGAAUGACCCAUUUACAGAGCCCAGAGCCCAGGAUACAGCUUCUGUGGGCGAGUGAGUGUGCAAAUGUGGAAAAUGUGCAUCCUCCAGGUCAGUGUGCUCUAUUCUGUCUACGCUGACACUGUCCCAGAGACUGAAGACAGAAGUCCCAGGCAGGGGGAGGUGUGCUGCCUACAGGAAGCCUUGGGUUGUGCAGCGCCAACCACCGUCUCCACAAAUCUGAGGCCUGGGAUGCUAUCUGCCUGGGUCCCUCUCUGAGAGGAAGGUUUGAGGUCAGAGAACUUCCCCAUCCCUCUACAGGCAGGGUCAGAGGUCUCCAACUUGGUUCAUUCCGGGAGCAAGUUGGAACACCUGGCGUCCUCUUUGGCUCCCCCUGCUGGCUGUCCAGAGCACAGUGGGUAACCGGAUGGCAGAGAUCAGGGGAUGUGGGGGCCGACCUCACAGCAAGUUCCCAGUCCUCUUAGACUCACCAGGAUCGCCAGGCAUGUUCUGGGGGAGGGGACUUCCAGCCCAAUGCUCACACUGCUCCAUAGCUCACCCCCUAAUGUGCAGGCCUUGGGGAGCCCUGCAGAGAGGGGUCUCAGCCUCGGAGUGGCUGGCCACACACGAUGACAGUGCUGUGGAUUCCUACCUACCACAGUCUGGUGACCCGCUAGGAUGGGCCAUUUCUCUGGCUCAGUCAUUAUUCCUACAAAUGGGAAUCUCAUCUUGUUUUAUUUGAGCAGGAGGCGCCAGUAGUCACGGCCAGACCGUGAGUCCUAGAAGCUGGUGAAAUGCAGCUGGGACUACAGUGUGCAGAGGCAGUGUGUGGGAGGGGGUUGGGAAGGAGGCUGUGGGCCNCCCCCCCCCCACCCUCUGCCUCCACUCACCAGGUCACAAGUGUCACUUAACACAGAAGAGGCAGGCGGGCACAGAUAUGAACGACUGAUUUUCUAACCCUGGCCUGAGUGGACUUCUGUGGGUAGCCUGUGACACUCUGCCUCGGGAGGGAGCUCCCUGAGAGGAUGAGGGGAGCCCAGUUCAGUGGGGAGAAGCCCUGAGCCUGCAUGCAGAUGUGCUCACUCCAAGCAAGUCACCCAGUUCUGCCCGACGCUCACCUGUACGGCUUGAUGAUCUUCUGCCCGUAUUUCAGGGCUCCCUCCCAGUCUUGCAUGUACAGGCAGACACCCAUGGCCUGGUACAUCAUGUGCAGCAUGUACACAUUGCUGUCCUCAAACACGGAGCUCAUCUUCUCCUGGCUAAGCUCGCAGAUCUCCAGCAGCUCACUAGGGGGUGCUGAAGCGUCAAGGAAACAGGCAGCAUCCUAGGUGGGGCGGGGCAUCCCAGGAAUUCCCUUGAAUUCCCUCAUCCAGGCUGGGGGCCUGGGCAACCCAGUACCUCAUAUGAGGAAGCUGUGCUGGCACAGAAACAUUUUCUAAGUACAGAGGGCAACCCCAGCCCAGGCUCUCAAGAGGUCUCUUGAAUUAGGAGGCGAUGUGCCUCGUGGGCCUCGGGGUGCAGGCUGCCACCCUGGCUGUUCAGGAGGCCAAGGAGGAAGGAACUCAGGUUCAAAGCCUGCCUGGGCUGUGGAAGGCGUUCGGUAUCAGCCUGGAUCAUGCCUUGAAAACAGGACAUGUUUCAAAAUAAAGCCUGAAGACCUGAGGCAACGCUUGAGUUACUGCCCAGCCUGCCACCCUCCCACGUGGUUUUCAACAAGCCACUGG